CCGUACACAAAAGCGCAUGUGCUGUGAGCUCGAUGAGUAGGGCGGGACACGUGGUAUCCUGUCUGAAUAUGGGGGGACCAUCCUCCAAGGCUAAAUACUCCUGACUGACCGAUAGUGAACCAGUACCGUGAGGGAAAGGCGAAAAGAACCCCGGCGAGGGGAGUGAAAAAGAACCUGAAACCGUGUACGUACAAGCAGUGGGAGCACCCUUCGGGGUGUGACUGCGUACCUUUUGUAUAAUGGGUCAGCGACUUAUAUUCUGUAGCAAGGUUAACCGUAUAGGGGAGCCGGAGGGAAACCGAGUCUUAAUUGGGCGUUAAGUUGCAGGGUAUAGACCCGAAACCCGGUGAUCUAGCCAUGGGCAGGUUGAAGGUUGGGUAACACUAACUGGAGGACCGAACCGACUAAUGUUGAAAAAUUAGCGGAUGACCUGUGGCUGGGGGUGAAAGGCCAAUCAAACCGGGAGAUAGCUGGUUCUCCCCGAAAGCUAUUUAGGUAGCGCCUCGUGAAUUCAUCUCCGGGGGUAGAGCACUGUUUCGGCUAGGGGGCCAUCCCGGCUUACCAACCCGAUGCAAACUGCGAAUACCGGAGAAUGUUAUCACGGGAGACACACGGCGGGUGCUAACGUCCGUCGUGAAGAGGGAAACAACCCAGACCGCCAGCUAAGGUCCCAAAGUCAUGGUUAAGUGGGAAACGAUGUGGGAAGGCCCAGACAGCCAGGAUGUUGGCUUAGAAGCAGCCAUCAUUUAAAGAAAGCGUAAUAGCUCACUGGUCGAGUCGGCCUGCGCGGAAGAUGUAACGGGGCUAAACCAUGCACCGAAGCUGCGGCAGCGAACGUAUCACCCAAGACAACUUUACGGAGUUGACGAUUGACGGAGCGAAGCGACGUCAAAGCGUUCAUUAAAGUCGAGUUGGCUUAGGGAUACGUUCGUUGGGUAGGGGAGCGUUCUGUAAGCCUGUGAAGGUGUGUCGUGAGGCAUGCUGGAGGUAUCAGAAGUGCGAAUGCUGACAUAAGUAACGAUAAAGCGGGUGAAAAGCCCGCUCGCCGGAAGACCAAGGGUUCCUGUCCAACGUUAAUCGGGGCAGGGUGAGUCGACCCCUAAGGCGAGGCCGA
rnacentral:rRNA from 1 species